UCACUUCACUCACUCACUUUAUAUAUAUUAUGUGAUUCCAUAGCUGGAUUUCUCUAAUGAAUGACCUGUUGACAUUCGUGUGCCUCACACCAGUCUGUCUGCUGUCAAAGACUUCGUCAAGAAAAACAACGUCCCUUUCACUGUCAUGAUCAACAAUGUGCAGGAGCUUUUGGUCAGAGAGAGAGAAGAAAUGGUUCACAAUGCAGAAAUGGAACGCAAGUCCAAAAGCUUCAAUUUUGCUGCUUAUCAUGACCUGGAGAUGAUUUACAAUUUUAUAGACACCCUUUGUUGCAAGUUACUCUAACCUGAUCUCUCAAGUGAAGAUUGGCAGCACUUAUGAGAACCGUCCCAUGUAUGUCUUGAAGUUCAGCACUGGUGGAGAGAAAAAAACCUGGAUUGAAGCUGGGAGUGGAUUUCUCACACUACUGCAGUGUGGCUUGCUGACAGGAUUGCCACAGACUUUAA